rnacentral:tRNA from 1 species
GCGCCCGUAACUCAGCCUGGAAUCAGAGUACCUCCGUCCUAAGGAGGGAGUCGUAGGUUCAAAUCCUAUCGGGCGCA